rnacentral:tRNA from 1 species
GGGGAUUUAGCUCAGCGGCAUAAGCGCCUGCCUUGCAAGCAGGCGGUCAUGAGUUCAAUCCCUG